GGAUUCCAGACAUUUCUGCAAUACUCCAAAGUUCAUGUCGAGGAAAUCAGUGGACUUAAACAUUUGGCAGCAGUGAAACAUGUGGAAGAUGGGAUACAUUGAUAUAUCAGAUGCCUCUAAUGAAUCUGUGUGGAAAAUCCACCAAACAAGAAACAUCAUUCUGCUAGGAAUACAGCAGUGAGUAACCAAGACGUGGCUCUUUUUCUCAUGGCGCUUACCAUCUAAGGCGUUAUUUCUUUUUCUUUUACUACAGAAGUAGCUAGGAUCUCCUGUACAAUGUUUAAUUAAGGCAAC